rnacentral:rRNA from 1 species
CUCCAGACUCCUACGGGAGGCAGCAGUGGGGAAUAUUGCACAAUGGGGGAAACCCUGAUGCAGCAACGCCGCGUGAGUGAAGAAGUAUUUCGGUAUGUAAAGCUCUAUCAGCAGGGAAGAAGAUGACGGUACCUGAGUAAGAAGCCCCGGCUAACUACGUGCCAGCAGCCGCGGUAAUACGUAGGGGGCAAGCGUUAUCCGGAUUUACUGGGUGUAAAGGGGGCGCAGACGGCAGCGCAAGCCAGGAGUGAAAGCCCGGGGCCCAACCCCGGGACUGCUCUUGGAACUGCGCGGCUGGAGUGCAGGAGGGGCAGGCGGAAUUCCUGGUGUAGCGGUGAAAUGCGUAGAUAUCAGGAGGAACACCGGUGGCGAAGGCGGCCUGCUGGACUGCGACUGACGUUGAGGCCCGAAAGCGUGGGGAGCAAACAGGAUUAGAUACCCUUGUAA